UACAGAGGUCUCAAGCGUUGUUCGGAUUCAUUGGGCGUAAAGGGUGCGUAGGUGGCGCGUUAAGUCCGUUGUGAAAUCCCUGGGCUCAACCCAGGAAUUGCUUCGGAUACUGGCGUGCUUGAGGCUAGUAGGGGUCACUGGAAUUUACGGUGUAGCGGUGAAAUGCGUAGAUAUCGUAAGGAAGACCAGUGGCGAAGGCGGGUCUCUGGACAGUUCCUGACGCUGAGGCACGAAGGUCAGGGGAGCAAACGGG
rnacentral:rRNA from 1 species